rnacentral:rRNA from 1 species
AUUGAACGCUGGCGGCAUGCCUUACACAUGCAAGUCGAACGGUAACAGGUCUUCGGAUGCUGACGAGUGGCGAACGGGUGAGUAAUACAUCGGAACGUGCCCGAGAGUGGGGGAUAACGAGGCGAAAGCUUUGCUAAUACCGCAUACGAUCUCAGGGUGUAAGCAGGGGACCGCAAGGCCUUGCGCUCACGGAGCGGCCGAUGGCAGAUUAGGUAGUUGGUGGGAUAAAAGCUUACCAGGCCGACGAUCUGUAGCUGGUCUGAGAGGACGACCAGCCACACUGGGACUGAGACACGGCCCAGACUCCUACGGGAGGCAGCAGUGGGGAAUUUUGGACAAUGGGCGCAAGCCUGAUCCAGCCAUGCCGCGUGCAGGAUGAAGGCCUUCGGGUUGUAAACUGCUUUUGUACGGAACGAAAAGACUCUGGUUAAUACCUGGGGUCCAUGACGGUACCGUAAGAAUAAGCACCGGCUGACUACGUGCCAGCCGCCGCUGUAACAC